GACGAACGCUGGCGGCGUGCUUAACACAUGCAAGUCGAACGGAAAGGCCCUGCUUUUGCGGGGUGCUCGAGUGGCGAACGGGUGAGUAACACGUGAGUAACCUGUCCUUGACUUUGGGAUAACUUCAGGAAACUGGGGCUAAUACCGCAGAGGAGCUCCUGCUGCAUGGUGGGGGUUGGAAAGUUUCGGCGGUUGGGGAUGGACUAGCGGCUUAUCAGCUUGUUGGUGGGGUAGUGGCUUACCAAGGCUUUGACGGGUAGCCGGCCUGAGAGGGUGACCGGCCACAUGGGGACUGAGAGACGGCCCAGACUCCUACGGUAGGCAGCAGGGGGGAAUAUUGCACAAUGGGCGGGAGCCUGAUGCAGCAACGCCGCGUGCGGGAUGACGGCCUUCGGGUUGUAAACCGCUUUCUCCUGUGACGAAGCGGGAGUGACGGUAAUGGGUAAAGAAGCACCGGCUAACUACGUG
rnacentral:rRNA from 1 species